CUGAGCACCGAGCCUGCUGCCAAAAACACUUUCUUGGCCGCUAAUCGCACUUUUUUCCUGCUUCUUUGUGCAGCAGGUAUUUAAAAACGGCAACAAGCUGAAGCAAUCGCGACUUUUUUUUACCCCCUGAACCCUCAGAGACUCAUUUUUAUCCCCCCUUUAAUGUCUGAUCAAAACAGAUUUUUCAUUCAUGCGUGUAUUUUUUCGCAGCCUGGAAAAGGAGUUUUAAAUUUUAUUUUUUAUUGUUUUUUUAAAUAACGGAGAAAGUUGAGCUCUGGAUAAGUUUGUCCGGGUUUCAGAUUAUCUCUCAGAUCAGAUCAGAUCAGAUCAGAUCAGAGCGCUCCAACUCUUGAAGAAAACCGUGUUAUGGAGGGACAAUCACACGCAAACUAUUUCUAACAUGCCUAAGGAUUCAACCUGGACUCUCUCCUAUAUUGAUAAGCAGAGUGCCAGGUCAUGGAAGACCCACCCUCACUCCCUCCUGCUGCCGCCUGCACCUCCUGAUCCCCCACCACCAGGGAGAGGGUGAGAAAGUAGCACCUCGCAGCCUCUGCAGACCAACACGACUCUACUGGCCUUCAACAUCACAUCACGACUCUCGCGCUUCUUUAGUGGUGAUCACCGAGAAAUCGGUGGCAACGUUACGCAGAGAACACAAAGACGUCAAGAGAAGUUGUGUUUUUUUUUUUUUUUAUUUAAUGUAACAUUUACCUUUUUUUAUAGUAUAAACAAUAAUCCCAAACAGUGUUAUGUAUUUGUUUCCGUUUCUUUGUUUUCUAUAAGGGUUCCUGAAUGAAGAUUAAUGAUCAAUGAUCUGCAAGUGAUCUUGGAUAAAAGGUCAGCACCUACAAUAUCAAUUACCUACACUUACAGUAUUCGCAUGCUUAUGUUUAACUCAUUUAGCAAGAUUCUGAACUAUUAGUCCAUUUCCACAAGUGAAGACAAAUUGAUCAGUUUGGUUUGUUUUCUAUUCAUAUACUUAAAAAAAAAAAAAAAAAAUAGUGUAUAUAUAUAGGCAUUUGGCAGACGCUUUUAUCCAGAGCGACUUACAUUUUUAACUCAUUAUACAUCUGAUCAGUUAAGGGUUAAGGGCCUUGCUCAAGGGCCCAACAGUGGCAUUCUUGGUGGUUGUGGGGUUUGAACCUGGGAUCUUCCGGACCAUAGUCCAAUGCCUUAACCACUGAGCUACCCCUGGCCCAGGCAUAUAUAUGCCCUGGCAUACACAGGUAUAUGUAUGUGUAUGGGAAAAGAAGAGGGGUGAUUUAGAAGGAGGACCCUUUAGUAUCUUUAUUAAUCACUUUAUUCUGCCGAUGGCAGUAGUGGAUCCAGAGUCAAGUCUGGGGAAAAGCAGGUAUCACAUCACAUACACACACACACACACACACACACAGGACAACUUAGAGUCGCAAGUCCACCUACAGGUACAUUUUAACUGCAGAACAUGGAGAAAACCCACAUGGACCUGAGAGAACUUAAAACUCCAAACAGACAGGGUAACUCAAGCUCAGGAUCGAAUCAAGGACGCUGGAGCUAUGAGACGGUGACACGACUCACCGGUCUGACAAUAAAUUAUUAAAUAAAGGUGUGCCUCUCCAUAUAUUAUAAAGACUAGCAUAUAAAUGUAGAUUCAAGAAUUAAAUCUACAGUCGAGUUAAUAGCUAGCUGUUUUGUUUAAUAAUCAGCAGAAAUGUUGUUUUUUUAUAAUCGUAUGGCUGAUUCAAAACAAUAAAAAUUUUGCACUUAUUAUGCUACAAAAAUAUUAUUGUCUAUAACGCAACCUGUACUCUCUAAUACCUCAUUUAUGUAUAUUCACUUUUUCUAUACUUACUGGGCAUUCAGCUAUUCUUUUAUACUUUCUCGAUCUCUUAUACUUUUACUCUUUUAUACUUUCUCGAUGUCUAUGUUUAAAAAGCUGAGUCAGGUGGCAGGCAUAAAUGCACACAAACAAUUCGGUGAGUUAACGCUAUAUAGACAGAUAUUAGACACAACAUAGACAACAGAUCAUGUACACAAGAGGAGAUGUUUUGUCUAUCCGAGUCUGUCUGAGACAACACAGUUCUAUUGUUGCACUGUCGAAGUCCCACUCAUCUCCCAUCUCCGUGUCUCUCUUCUCAUAUUUCCUUUCAUGCACACACACUUACACACACACACUCACACACCCAUCAUGAUCACCAUCUCAUCACCAUGACGUGCACACAUCCACCAUCAGAGGGCUGCCUAGCCUGAAGUGGGCUUUGACAGCACUGGGGUAGGCAGAACACAGGAAGCACAUUUAGAUAUCAGCUCCUGUCGUCUACACCUUUUCACAUCACAUCACAGUUACAUCCUUCUAUCGGCUCUCGGAGCCGAAAGUGCGGCCGCUUCACUUUGCUAGAGCUAAAUGACAAGUCACAAUACGAGCACGUGCAGAUGCGCGAAUGAAAAAUUUAGAGACGGAACAAAAGUAGAGAAAGAGGAAGACAGAGGGCACGCGAGGGAAAGAAAAAGUUUCAAAUGGAGGAAUGAGUAAAUAAUUGUGAAUGUGUCUGAGAAUGCAGGAGAUCAGGAAAGAACAGGAUGUGGGUGGCACAUCAAAUGCAUUUCCAUUCACACCAGAUCAUGCUUCGGAAACCCAAAGGCGGCGCAGCCUUUCUGACUGUAAAAUAUCAUCUCACGGUAUAUAACAUUUAUUUCUACUCUGCACAGAAACAUCAUGUUAACACCCUACUGUCAAAGUUUAAUCGUUUUUCUUCUAGAAAAAUAGUUGCACUGGCUGCUUGUGUUCAUCUGGACUUAAGGGUUAUGAAAAACACAAGUGUGCGUAUGUGUGUGUGUGUGUGUGUGGAUGUAGGUGUGUAUUUGAGGCAUAUUAGACUCUGUGCUUUGCCCCCACUCACAAAUCCUAAUUAUUUUCUUAGUCAGCCGGGUGUGCAGAGUUGGCCAGAAAGUUGUGCAAAUGCUUAUUUAAGCUGUGUAACUUACAUCCAUAUGGUUUUCAUCAUCAUAAAGAACCGCUUGAGCAGCUUAUGUUUUCAUGAGGCCGAAGCUUUGGCCUGUCUGUCAAACACACAGCACUUCACAGCCCUACAGUCCACUCUCUCUCUUUGAAAAAAAUGAUUUACACACAUUUGUAUUCUGAAAUAUAAAAAAUUAAAGCUUAUGCAUUGAA